UACAGAGGGUGCGAGCGUUAAUCGGAAUUACUGGGCGUAAAGCGUGCGUAGACGGUUAUUUAAGUCGGGUGUGAAAGCCCCGGGCUCAACCUGGGAAUUGCAUUCGAGACUGAAUAGCUAGGGUACGGGAGAGGGAAGCGGAAUUCCGGGUGUAGCGGUGAAAUGCGUAGAUAUCCGGAGGAACACCGGUGGCGAAGGCGGCUUCCUGGACCGACACUGACGCUGAGGCGCGAAAGCUAGGGGAGCGAACAGG
rnacentral:rRNA from 1 species